rnacentral:lncRNA from 1 species
UUGUGGUCCUCUGUAUCAAACCUCACUGCAGUGUAUUCCUUAUACAUAUACCGAUUUCACUUAUCUUGCCUACAAGUUACCUUAUAUAAGACUCCUUUUACAAAUCUCCUUAUGAUGCGCCUUGUACUUGUUAACUGAUAUUGACACUCUUGGCCUUGACACUAUGAACAUGUCUAUGAACCAAUAUCCCUUUCAGCUCUUACUCUCUUGAGCUGACCAAGUUGCUAACCGAAAAUUUUAUCUUUCAGCUGCACCAAU